rnacentral:rRNA from 1 species
AUUGAACGCUGGCGGCAGGCCUAACACAUGCAAGUCGAGCGGAUGAGAGGAGCUUGCUUCUCGAUUCAGCGGCGGACGGGUGAGUAAUGCCUAGGAAUCUGCCUGGUAAUGGGGGACAACGUUUCGAAAGGAACGCUAAUACCGCAUACGUCAUACGGGAGAAAGCAGGGGACCUUCGGGCCCUGCGCUAUCAGAUGAGCCUAGGUCGGAUUAGCUAGUAGGUGAGGUAAUGGCUCACCUAGGCGACGAUCCGUAACUGGUCUGAGAGGAUGAUCAGUCACACUGGAACUGAGACACGGUCCAGACUCCUACGGGAGGCAGCAGUGGGGAAUAUUGGACAAUGGGCGAAAGCCAGAUCCAGCCAUGCCGCGUGUGUGAAGAAGGUCUUCGGAUUGUAAAGCACUUUAAGUUGGGAGGAAGGGCAGUAAGUUAAUACCUUGCUGUUUUGACGUUACCGACAGAAUAAGCACCGGCUAACUCUGUGCCAGCCGCCGCAGUAAAAC